rnacentral:rRNA from 1 species
GUGCCUAACACAUGCAAGUCGAACGAGGUCCAUGCAGUGGCAACACUGCGGAAGACCUAGUGGCGAACGGGUGAGUAACACGUGAGGAACCUGCCCCGAAGACCGGGAUAACCCUCCGAAAGGAGGGCUAAUACCGGAUACCCCCUUCAGAUCGCAUGAUUUGAUGAGGAAAUGGAUUCCGCUUCGGGAGGGCCUCGCGGCCUAUCAGCUAGUUGGUGGGGUAACGGCCUACCAAGGCAUCGACGGGUAGCUGGUCUGAGAGGACGAUCAGCCACACUGGGACUGAGACACGGCCCAGACUCCUACGGGAGGCAGCAGUGGGGAAUCUUGCGCAAUGGGCGAAAGCCUGACGCAGCAACGCCGCGUGGGGGAUGAAGGCUUUCGGGUUGUAAACCCCUUUCAGCAGGGACGAAUCAAGACGGUACCUGCAGAAGAAGCCCCGGCUAACUACGUGCCAGCAGCCGCGGUAACACGUAGGGGGCAAGCGUUGUCCGGAUUUAUUGGGCGUAAAGAGCUCGUAGGCGGCUGAGUAAGUCGGAUGUCAAAUCCUCAGGCUCAACCUGGGGCUCCAUCCGAUACUGCUCUGGCUAGAGUCCGGUAGGGGAGCGUGGAAUUCCUGGUGUAGCGGUGAAAUGCGCAGAUAUCAGGAGGAACACCAGCGGCGAAGGCGGCGCUCUGGGCCGGAACUGACGCUGAGGAGCGAAAGCGUGGGUAGCGAACAGGAUUAGAUACCCUGGUAGUCCACGCCGUAAACGUUGGGCACUAGGUGUGGGGUCUAUUCAACGGACUCCGUGCCGUAGCUAACGCAUUAAGUGCCCCGCCUGGGGAGUACGGCCGCAAGGCUAAAACUCAAAUGAAUUGACGG